ensembl:lncRNA
AUGCCACGGCCCCGACAGGGCGUCCUGGCCGCCCUGCGUCCAGACCCCAGCGUCUCUGCGGGCACCCGCAUCUGGCAGCGUCGCGCGGAGAAACGUGCCCCGAGCUGCUCCCACGCGCCCCGCGUCUCUACCCGGGAGGCCCUGAUGGGGAGAUCGUGGCUGAUGAGCUCGUGGAGGAGGUCAUCGGGAAAUGCCCUCAUCUCUGCUCUGUGGCAGAGAUGGGGUCAGCCACGGGGGCACACGUGUCCCUCAGUGGGAGUCGGGGGCCACGAAAGCGACGGAGGGGUGCCGAGGAUGAGCGGCGAAAACAGGCAGAAGGGUCACCUGAGUCCACAUCCUUGGCCAAUCUGGCAGCACGGUCGCUGUCCCCCGGGGACUGCAGGUGCAUCAGGUUCCUGGAGCCCAGAGCCACCAACACCACCUGUACAGCCACACACGCAGCCCAGCUCAGCCCUGCUGGGCUGCAGCCCGCGAGGGAGGCCAGGGAAGGAGGCGCCGGGCCGCGGUCCCCCGCCGGCCUCCCGCUGCAGCUACCUGGGUGGCUGGGCCUCCCUCCACCCCCGGGGGACCCUGGGCCUCCCUGGCAGGCCCUGGACAGUCUGCGUAACAGCUUCACAUCAGCGUCUUCCAGGAAGUUUUGGCUUCUGGAAAAGGAGCACACUCCCAGAAUGACUUGUAAGAACGUGUUUGAAGCUGAGCGUGUAACUCAGGCACCGUGAAAGGCGCACGUCCUGUGUCCUGCUGGUUACACGUUCACCCGUCUACGCCCGUGAGACCCCACCUCUGUAAUGGGAUCCACAUGGAGCCCCCAGCACCUCUGAGAGCCCCUCGUGCCCCGUGUCCCUUCCCAGUCACUCUCCCAGGGUAACCUCUCCUCUGACCCCUGACCUCCGUCACCUCCGUCGUCAGCUCUCGACGUCACGUAAACCGAAACUUCUCUCCCUUGGCACCAGGAAUGUUCACGCCGUGAGCUCCCUCCCAAGGCUCUAGGGGAGCGCCUUCCUGCCCUCUCCAGCCUCUGGGGGCUCCGGGGGCUCCUUGGCUUGUUCAUGUGGCCUCACCGCCAUGUUGGAAUCUCCCUCUUCUUAGAAGGACUCCGGUCAUCAGUUCGGGGCCCACCCUGCUCCACCGUGACCGAGACUUAACUUGAUUACAUCUACAAAGACCCUAUUUCCAAAUAGGGUCCCAUUCUGAGUUGACAUGAGUCUAGGCAGGGGAUGGGGACAUUGCUCAACCUACCGUCGUAUGUGAUCCAAGAACUCAACGAGAAAAGCGCCAGGCCUCAAACAGCAUAUCAGCUCAGAGUCAAGCAAAAUGAAACACUCUUUUUAAAAAAAAAUUUUUAAUCUUUAUUUAUUUUUGAGAGAGAGACAGACAGAGAGCGAGCGGGGGAGGGGCAGAGAAAGAGGGGGAGACACAGACUAGGAAGCAGGCUCCAGGCUCUGAACUGUCAGCACAGUGCCCGUCGCGGGGUUCGAACUCGCAAACUGCAAGGUCAUGACCUGAGCCAAUCGGACGCUUAGCUGACCGCGCCCCCCAGGCGCCCCAGAACACUCUAUCUGACACAAGGUGCACUGCGUUUUAUACACACGGUAAGUAAGUGUGUGGUGAACGAUACCUCAGGAGAGGCUGCGGGGGGACAGGAGGAAGCUGGGGCAGUGGAGGGGCAGUG